UUAGACUAAAGAGUUACUUGAAAUGUGUUUCAUUUGUUCUUUACAAAGUGCUAGAUACAAUUUCACUGCACAUAAGAAUUUUGAAGCUCGAUUAAAAAGGUAAUUUCAUUCAUACAAACCAUAACUAAACAACGUGAAUGUAAAUAUAUAUGACUGGGUCAUACUUCCUAAUACAAAAGCAAGCAACGGACUGGUAAUAGGUAGGCCUAUUUUAGAGAGAUUGUGGUAAAUUAUAGUUCAUUAUUACAUGCAAAAUGUUUUUGCUUCGGAGCAGAACACUGGUCUAUCUUUGUCUUCAUAUCCUUUUCUUCUCAGAGCUGGUGUGAUGCCUUGCUCCUAUUCAUGGAUCUUGACCUACAAUUUUUUAACAAACUAAAUUAGUUAUUUAUUCAAUGGGAAAUCUGAAGUCGGGAUUACUUCGCCAAUAUUGUUAGCAAGUUUAUGAGGGAAAAGAAAGCAAUGUAACUUCCAAAAGUGAAGGUAAGAAUUUAGUACAUAGUAGUGUAGCUGAGAAAGUAGGAACAUGAGCUGCGACAUGUUUCAGAAAAAUGGUCGAGGUUCCCUGAUCCUAGUAACAUGAGCUGCGAUUAUUUUGCCAGGGACUCAUGGCUGUAUAUAACUUUCACAAGCAACAUCCCAUAUGUGACAACCUACCUUUGAUCACAAAGCUAUAUGAUCUAUAUAAUGGAGAAAAAUGGAGCUUUCAAUAACCUGCAUACCUAUUUUUCCCAAAGCAAACCUAAGAAUGAAGUACACAGUAUUGUAACUAGGAAAGUAGGAAAAUUAAAUCAUAUACUCUGAAACAUAUUGCAGAAAGAGAAGUGUGAAGCACGCUUCCUUGAAAUUUGGACACAAUCAGACAUUCAUUUUUUUUGAGCCUGCUAUAUAUCUAUGGGGAAGCAUGGAUAAGAAAAGAUAGAAAUUUAGAAAAUGUAUGCAAAUUCACAUAUUUUUCUAAAAUCCCAUGGAAAUGUGUGGGUCCACUUGGUCUAUCAGGACGGUGUAUUUCAAAAAAUCAAGUCAGGCAGCUAAUAGUUUGGAUAGAACCUCUAUAGAUAGUAGAAAGCAACAUCCAACGAUUCGACUGUACAGACUAAAAAGUUCGCCAGGAAAUGAGAAGAGCCAGCAAAAUAGACUAAGUUACAGAAGAAGCACCUGAAAUAAAAUAGUGGCAGUUAGUUUGGCAAGAAACCUGCAUAUAUUUGAGUGCAAUUCGCGUCCUCUAGGCCAUCGUUCUCACGCAUUUUUUCCUAGUAAGUAGAAAGCAUAUAACUCCGCCUAUGUCUUCUAGGCAUAGCCGGUCCCAAGCCCGGGUAAAGGAGGAGGGUUGUGAUAGGCUUGGCGAGCCAACGUAAAAACUAGCCAGUCCCAUAGGUAUGAAACCCAUUUGAGCGAGAAUAGUACUAGGAUGGGUGACCUCCUAGGAAGUCCUCGUGAAAGGGUUUCAUAUCUAAGGGUUGUGAUAGGCUUGGCGAGCCAACGUAAAAACUAGCCAGUCUUUUGGGUAUGAAACCCAUUUGGGCGAGAGUAGUACUAGGAUGGGUGACCUCCUGGGAAGUCCUCGUGAAAGGGUUUCAUAUCUAGCCUACCCCAACUUGUUUGGGAUAAAAGGCUUCGUAAGUAAGUAAGUAGAAAGCAAAGAUAGAGUAUGAAAAGGGGAUACAUAUUACACAACUAGUAGUUUCAGAGCUUUAGAAGGCCGUCCAGUUUUAGAUAGUAUGCUUUCACCUAUGCAGAACUGGACGUUGUACUACUUAUUUUAGAGUCAAGACAUAUUUCAAUCUCUAAAUGAAACCUGACACGAAUCAUCUGCUACUCUAGAAAUUUGAUUUAUCACGGCUAACCAACAUGGAACGAUCAUCUGACUUUCUGGCUAUACUAACGUGUAAAUAUUUGGCAGGUAUAGACUCGUUCAAGUUGACUGCAAAAGCAAUGAAGGUUGUUGUAGCUAGAUAAAUGACUCGUUCAAGUUGACCGCCAAAUUUUUGUUAGGAAGUGGAUGCCUACUAAUAGCGCAUCUCGGGGAAUCACAGUGAGAAUUAAAGGCCUGGAGAAAUGCAAAACGGCAAGAUAAAAUUCAGACAUUGGCAUAGAAAGAAACUAAUAGGAAAACAUGCACCAUCAAUCACUCACCAUAAGGACAGCAACUGGACAAUAGCUGAGCUGCGGUAGAUGGUUACCAAGUAAUGAACGGAAGGAAAAUCACUACAAAAUAACCAUGAGAACACCAAACUAUCUGCAAACAUGAAGGCUCUUUCUUGGAUUAGACAGGACGAGUACGCCAUGAUAAUCCAAAGAACAAAAAGAUGGAUUUAAAUUUAUAGAGCAAUGCUAGGAAGAUAUUGUCUUGAACAACAGAAAGUAAGAAAACAAUAAAGCAAGCAACAAACCUGCAAAAAAUAUCCUCCAAGUUUUGCGUGAAAAUCCAUCGAAUAUAUCCUCGAUCGCAUAUGUCUCUGUCAAGGUACUCUACAGGAAGGUUCUCCAAAAAACAGAGUAACAUUGUUUUUCCUUUUUGAGAGUUUGAUAGCAAACCUGCAAUGUAUCAAAAAGGGAUUAGAAUUGAUAAGAAAAUAAAUCUCUGCUAUUUUAUAGUCGAAGAACAUGCUUCAAUCGACAAAAAUACAAAAACAUUGAAAUUUGAUGGUGUAAGGAACCUGCAGUGAUAUACUGAGCCAUAAACUACUUUGCAAUGAUAUACUGAACCAUAAACCUGAAGCUCUACUUUGAUGCCAAUAAAUUUAUAACUGGGAAAGUAGGAAAAUGAAAUCAUAUACUCUAAAUCAUAUUGUAGAAACAGAAGCGUGAAGCACACUUCCUUGAAAUUUGAACACAAGUGAACAUUCAUUUAGCAUACAGAGGUAACAUAAACUUAAGCAAGACUAUUUAAUUGAUCAUGGUACAUGGUGGAUUUUUUAUAAUUGAUAUUCCGCUGGAAGUGGAUAAGUUCUGUAGAUAUUCGGAUGCUCAUUUUCAGUAGUCAUAUAAAUCGACCUGAUUUCCCAGCUUAGACGUUUCAGACAUGUCUCACAAUAUGAUGUGACCAUGGGUUCAAUCCCAUGUUCAAUUAUGUACGAAGAGAGGCCCCAUUUGGAAACAUGUAAGCACAAUCAAAUGCCUGGGCACAUAGUUCUGUUUACAAAGCUAUUUGCAGGUUUGAAUGCGUUGCAGCAAGAUGGCAUGAUAAUCUAUAGUAACCAAGAAUGUUCGAAAAACAAGAUAGAAAAUCAUAGCAGAGGAACUGAGCAAAUCAGUUAAGCGCGAUAUGUAAGACAUGACUGACAUGAUGGAACAAGAUGCAUGAAUGGCAAGUAAAUACUACUACCACAUGAUGUAGAGAAGGAGAGCACGACGUUUUAAGCAUAUAGUAAUAUGAAUGGAGCUCACGGGAAUAUGGCGCGAUGACUGGCUGUCUUCACUUCCUGUAAAACAAUUAUGAUUUCCAUCAGAUAAAGGAGAAAGCUACUUACAAACCUACAGUAGAGAUGCUACAUAAUGUAAGCUCAAAAGAACACAAGCUUUCAAGUUAAUGUAAUGAUCAGGCCAAGACUCUGCACCUAUCAUCAUCACAACUGUGGACAUACGAUGUGCUGUGUAUUUUUAGAUCUUUCAUUCAAAUAAUGUGUAGCACUGGCAGACAUACAAAGGCUGACCCAUGUUAUUUCAGUCUUAUGACUUUUACUUUAGCAGAACACUCAUUUGGUCAAUCUUGGUCGAAGAGCACCGAAACAAUUUUAGGAACAUCCAUUAAGAAAAUAGUAACAAUAGCAGCACAGUCAGGCAUAUAAAUUGGUGAGUAAAACAUAUCUUGUUUGGAUUAUUCUACCAGGAUAGAUAAUAAAACUUCACCUGCCAUGUCCUUUUUCAGCAUAGUGCCAAUAUAUACUUCAAAAAAGCAUUGGACUACCAUAUUGUCUAAUAGAUUCUGGGAUCCCUGAGGAACGUGGUCUUCUAUGUCAGAUCUGCACACCUCAAGUUUAAAAAUACAAAUAUUAGCAAAGUAAAAUAUGAGUGAGGAGGAAGUGAGGGAGAGAAAGAGUGGAGCACCAAGUUCGCCGCUGGCCUGCAUCGCUCGAGCCACCUCCAACAGGCACGUGUUGUUCUCCUUGUACUCCAGAUGCACGAGACAUCCAUUGGAGGAGACAUGAGCUCCUGCUUCCUCUCGCCUUCCCACACCGCCUGUUCACCUCGAGCUCCUUGCCCGGCGGGGGGUGGAGGCAGAGGUGGCACCUCAUGAUGCAGAGGAGACGACGACGCGGUGGCGCGACAAGUCGACCCGCCGGCCGCCGGCAGGUGCGCGAGGCCUCACCCUGCCCCUUACCCCCACCCGUUGUUGCUUGACUUCCUCACCGGCCUCCUCCUUCCCCUUGUCGUUGCAUCCUACCCCACACCUGCACCGCGAUGACCCUGCCGGCGCUGCUCCCCCACGACGAUACGUCCGAUCUGGAUCGACGGCAACAUGGAAGAGGACAGGAGGAGGUAAGCAGAGGAGAAGGUCGGCGGUGGAUCAACGACGACGUGGUAGAGGAGAGGAGGAGGCGAGUGGAGAGACAAGGCCGGCGGCUGCAGGUGAGGAGAGGAUGAGGGAGAGAGGGAGGGGUGUGGCAGCUUGUGGGGAUGGAGGGGAAGGAGAAAGAGCGCUAGGGUUCGUUUGGCGGGUCGGGUGGGUGUAGGGCGAGAAGCAGGCGAUUGGGUGCGGAGCGUGCCGAGCUCAUUGGGCAAAACCUGGUGCACCCGGAAACAGCCAAUCCAGCCAACAAGAGCCCGGUGUGAGCCCACUUGUCAUUGGACAACUAAAACAACUGCGAGGUGAAAAUCGGGUUUAACCGCGAGGUAAAGAUCUGACGGUCCAGACAUGCUAGAAAGCUAAAUCCGAUGGCCGACGAAGGCCCAAUUGAGGGAGCUUUCUGGAGAAGAGUUGGCUAGCCUCUUUAUUGGUUUAAAUAGGCUUCCUCAAAUGCUCUAGGUAUUCAUGAGAAAGCAAGUUGAAUGCAUAACCACUUAGUUUCUUUUGUUGAGUUUUCAUACAUUUAUAGCUCUAGUGCGUCCGUUGCAUGGCAAUCCCUAAUCUUUGCAUUGACAUUAAUUGAUGGGCAUCUCCCUAUCCCAUUGAUUAGUCGCGUCAAUGUGAGACUUUCUUUUUUUUGUCUUAUCCACAUAACCCCAUCAUCAUAUUCUAUUUCAUCCAUAGUGCUAUAUCCAUGGCUCACGCUCAUGUAUUGCGUGAAAGUUGAAAAAAGUUUGAGAUUGCUUAAGUAUGAAACAAUUACUUGGCUUGUUAUCGGGUUGUGCAUGAUGAGAGCAUUCUUGUGUGAUGAAAAUGGAGCAUGACCAAACUAUAUGAUUUUGUAGGGAUGAACUUUCUUUUGCCAUGUUAUUUUGAGAAGACAUGAUUGUUUAGUUAGUAUGCUUGAAGUAUUAUUAUUUUUAUGUUAAUAUUAAACUUUUGUUUUGAAUAUUUCAAAUCUGAAUAUUCAUGUCACAAUAAAGAAAAUUAUAUUGAGAAUUAUACUAGGUAGCAUUCCACAUCUAAAAUUCUGUUUUUUAUCAUAUACCUACUCGAGGACGAGCGGGAAUUAAGCUUGGAGAUGCUUGAUACGUCUCCAACGUAUUUAUAAUUUUUUAUUGCUCCAUGCUAUUAUAUUAUCUAUUUUGGAUGUUAAUGGACUUAUUUAUACAUUUUUAUAUUAUUUUUGGGACUAACCUACUAAUCCAAGGCCCAGUGCAAUUUGCUGUUUUUUUGCCUAUUUCAGUGUUUCGCAGAAAAAGAAUAUCAAACGGAAUCCAAACGGAAUGAAACUUUCGGGAGAGUUAUUUUUGGAACAAAUGUGAACCAGGUGACUUGAAAUGGACGUCAAGAAAUCAACGAGGAGGCCACGAGGCAGGGAGGCGCGCCUGCCCCCCUGGGCGCGCCCCCACCCUCGUGACUCCACCGACCUACUUCUUCCUCCUAUAUAUAUCCAUAUACCCAGAAAACAUCGAGGAGCACCACGAAACCCUAUUUCCACCGUCACAACCUUCUGUACCCAAGAGAUCCCAUCUUGGGGCCCUUUCCGGAGCUCCGCCGGAGGGGGAAUCGAUCACGGAGGGCUUCUACAUCAACACCAUAGCCUCUCCGAUGAUGUGUGAGUAGUUUACCACAGACCUUCGAGUCCAUAGUUAUUAGCUACAUGGCUUCUUCUCUCUCUUUGGAUCUCAAUACAAGGUUCUCCUCGAUCUUCUUGGAGAUCUAUUUGGUGUAACUCUUUUUGCGGUGUGUUCGUCGAGAUCCGAUGAAUUGUGGGUUUAUGAUCAAGUUUAUCUAUGAACAAUAUUUGAUUCUUCUCUAAAAUCUUUUAUGUAUGAUUGGUUAUCUUUAUAAGUCUCUUCGAAUUAUCAGUUUUGUUUGGCCUACUAGAUUGAUCUUUCUUGCAAUGGGAGAAGUGCAUAGCUUUGGGUUCAGUCUUGCGGUGUCAUUUCCCAGUGACAGCAGGGGCAGCAAGGCACAUAUUGUAUUGUUGCCAUCGAGGAUAAAAAGAUGGGGUUUAUAUCAUAUUGCUUGAGUUUAUCCCUCUACAUCAUGUCAUCUUGCCUAAUGCGUUACUCUGUUCUUAUGAACUUAAUACUCUAGAUGCAUACUGGAUAGCGGUCGAUGUGUGGAGUAAUAGUAGUAGAUGCAGAAUCGUUUCGGUCUACUUGUCGCGGACGUGAUGCCUAUAUACAUGAUCAUGCCUAGAUAUUCUCAUAAUUAUGCACUUUUCUAUCAAUUGCUGGACAUUAAUUUGUUCACUCACCGUAAUACUUAUGCUAUCUCGAGAGAAUCCACUAGUGAAACCUAUGGCCCCCGGGUCUAUCUUUUAUCAUAUAAGUUUCCAAUCUAUUUUAUUUUGCAAUCUUUACUUUCAAUCUAUAUCAUAAAAAUAUCAAAAAUAUUUAUCUUAUUAUUAUUAUCUCUAUCAAAUCUCACUCUCAUAAGUGACCGUGAAGGGCUUGACAACCCCUUUAUCGCGUUGGUUGUGAGGUUCUUAUUUGUUUGUGUAGGUACGAGAGACUUGCGUGUAGUCUGGAUUGAUACCUUGGUUCUCAAAAACUGAGGGAAAUACUUACGCUACUUUGCUGCAUCACCCUCUCCUCUUCAAGGAAAAACCAAUGCAGUGCUCGAGAGGUAGCAAAUACCUACCGCCGUUGUGCUGCAUCAUCCCUUCCUCUUUGGGGAAAUACCGACGUAAUUUCAAGCGACAUCACGCGCCUGCGCUUGAAAGCACAAGUGCUCCUUGGGUGAUUUUGGUAAUUAAUGUCAACAUAUCUCUUGUUGGACUAAUACUUUUAUCUCGUAUAUUUCAGAAAGUUCAGCAAAGGCAUGGAAUGGACAAGAGGAUGUGGAACCCCUUCAAGAAUCUAAGGACAAGGAUUGGCAAAAGCUCAAGACUCUACAUUUUCAGUUCAGUGAUCCAAGAUCACAUUGAGUCCAUAGGAAAGUCAAUACUAUUAAAAGGGGAUGAGGUGUUGCUUAAUGGCUUGCUUGCUCAAAGUGCUUAGUGAUAUGCUCCAAAAGCCCUCGACCACUCUCUCAUUUCCACAUAUGUCCCAAAAGUCAAACUCGGCCCCACCGAUUUGAUCUAUCCGGUGCCACCGAGUUCACUUGACAUAGCCACUGCUAGAAACCCUAGACACUUCGGUCUUACCGAUGGGAUCUCGAUAUCACCGAGAUGGGCUUGCAAACUCUCUGUUGCCUGUUGCAAUUAUUUCGGUCUCACCGAGAUAAGCAAUCGGUCCCACCAAAUUUGCUUGACCAACUCUCUGUUUUGCUUAUUACCAAAAUCGGUCUCACCGAGUUUGUGUAAUCGGUCAAACUAAGUUGAGGUUUUACCCUAACCCUAUCACAUCGGUCCCACCAAGUUGAUCAUAUUGGUCCCACUGAAAAGUCUAACAUUCACAUUUUGAACUGAAUCGGUCUGAUCGAGUUUGGUGAAUUGUGUGUACCGGCUAGAUUUUGUGUGGAGGCUAUAUAUAUCCCUCCACCCUUCCUCCAUUCAUUAGGAGAGCCAUCAGAACAUGCCUACACUUCCAGCAUUCAUUUUCUGAGAGAGAACCGCCUACUCAUGUGUUGAGAUCAAGAUAUUCCAUUCCAACCACAAGAAUCUUGAUCUUCAGCCUUCCCCAAGUUGCUUUCCACUCAAAUCAUCUUUCCACCAUAGCCAAAUCUGUGAGAGAGAGUUGAGUGUUGGGGAGACUAUCAUUUGAAGCACAAGAGCAAGGAAUUCAUCAUCAACACACCAGCUAUUACCUUUUGGAGAGUGGUGUCCCCUAGAUUGGUUAGGUGUCACUUGGGAGCCUCCGUCAAGAUUGUGGAGUUGAACCAAGGAGUUUGUAAGGGUAAGGAGAUCGCCUACUUCGUGAAGAUCUACCCAAGUGAGGCAAGUCCUUCAUGGGUGAUGGCCAUGGUGGGAUAGACAAAGGCUGCUUCUUCGUGGACCCUUCGUGGGUGGAGCUCUUUGUGGACUCGCGCAACCGUUACCCUUCGUGGGUUGAAGUCUCCAUCAACGUGGAUGUACGAUAGCACCACCUAUCGAAACCACGCCAGAAAUCUCCAUGUCUCCAAUUGUGUUUGCUCCCUCUAAACUUCAAUCCCAUCCCUUUACUUUCUUGCAAGUUGCAUGCUUUACUUCCCAAUGCUCAUAUACUCUUGCCAUGCUUGCUUGAAAUGUAUUGUGAAUGUUUAAACUUGUGCUAAAACUCCACCUUAACUUAAAGAAAUUAAAAAGUGAUACUUUCUUUGUUGAGGAUCUAAUCACCCCCCCCCUCUAUACAUCUCUUCUCGUUCCUACAGCGCUACCGAUGAUGACGGCUCAACCGAGGUCCUCUUGAUGGAUCACCACGCCUGGGUCUUUGCCGUCGCGCCGGUGGUGGUAGGGCAGCCAUCAGCCGCCAUGGUUGGGAAGUAUCUCUUCGUUUUGCUGGGGAACCUCAACCUGGUUGCCUCCUUCUCCAUCUUUCUUUUUUCACUGGGACUAAUUUCUAUGUUUCUUGGUGGGAUGGCGAGGUUGUCAAAUCCCUAGCACUCACCACAGCACGGCGGCGGCUACCUGCACCACCUCGCCGUUCAUUGUUAUGGAAGCGUGAUGUGAUGAGCUUCUCCUGGCGGCUUUGAGGUGAAGCCAGGGGAGGAAGGGAGGGAUGCAUUGCCAUGCUUGAUCUUGACAUCUUGUAUUGAUAGUUUGACAUAGUGCUGGGUGACAGUGGGAAGCCUACUGGAAUCAACUUUUGAUGUUCGAUCCCCUCUACUUCUUCAACAUUGUUCAAAUGAUACACAUUGUGCUUAGUAUUUCAUUUCCUAGGAAUAAGGUCUGGAAUAUUUUCCGGCCAAAAGGUCUGCAAUAUAAAUAUAUGGAUGGUGACACUUUGACUAGUGGCCCGUGCGCUGAUCACCCGGCAAGCGGGGCGUCGGCUAGGUUUGCUCAAGCAAACUCUCUUCCUGAUUAACUUUUUGUGUCUCAUGUUUCUUUCGUCCAUCCAAACUUUGAUUUCCAUUAUGGUGUACAUGCCAUGUGUUUGAUGCAAUGCACAAGAGGAAUCAUUGGGCUCAACGCUCUUUAUUUUCUAUGUACAAGGAGCCGAGGAGUACAUCAUGGACUCACUACAACACAUGCCAUUAACCUCCGUAGUCCAUUAUUGUAACUGAUGUUCAUAUCAAUUUACCAUAUGGAAGAUUAAAGUUUCACUCUGCAUCAAGAUCUUUAUGUGGUUCGUCCAUAAAGAAGUCAUCUUGACCAAAGAUAAUUUGAUGAAAAUAAAUUGGGUUGGUAACCCCAGGUGCUGUUUUUGUGAUCAAAACGAAACGAUUAAACACCUCUUUCUCGAGUGUCCACUUGCAAAAUUGUUAUGAUGGUCUAUCCAUAUAGCUUUUAACAUCCAACCUCCAAUGAGCAUAAACACGUUAUUUGGAACGUGGCUUAAUGGAGUAGACAUACACAAAGCUAAACAUAUUCGGAUAGGGAUAUGUGCUUUAUUAUGGGCUAUAUGGAACACUAGAAAGUUAUGGGUUUUAAUGGUACAACAUUCACCAAUUUUUUGUAGGUUAUCUAAAGAGCUAUAGCCUGGAUUCGUAUGUGGUCAUUACUCACUCAUGCAGACUACGUGGGGUCUAUGGUUAUUGGGUGCAACCGCUGGGAGAUGGUAGCACGGGCUAUCUUCAGCCGAUUUGGAUGGCGAGUUAAUAAUUGGCUAGGUGUGUAGGCAUCGUAGCCUAUUCUUUAUCGUCGGAUGUGGCACUUUAUUGCCGGAUUUUUAGCUUCCUUGGCUGUUAAGACUCUGUUUCGAUUUCUAAUAAUAUGGCUACACGCAUCGACUGAUGUAGAGGCCGGAUGUAUUGCACCUUUUCAAAUAAAAAUAAAAAUUAUGUUACAGGUAAAAAUGUGUUGUCUCAAGAGCCAUCAGAGUUGUUGGUUGCAGGUGAAGAUUGAAGGUGAAGAUUGAAGGCCAUCAGAGUUGUUGAUUACAGGUAAAAAUGUAUUGCACCUUCUCAACCCUUCUUAUAGCGUUGUUAGUUGCAGGUGAAGAUUGAAGGCCGUUCCUUGUUGGAACAUCUUUUAUUUACUUGUUGGGAUAUCAUUAUAUUGCUAUGUUAUCUUAAAUGCAUCUAUAUACUUGGUAAAGGGUGGAAGGCUCGGCCUCUCGCCUAGUGUUUUGUUCCACUCUUGCUACCCUAGUUUCCGUCAUAUCGGUGUUAUGUUCCUGGAUUUUGCGUUCCUUACGCGGUUGGGUUAUAAUGGGAACCCCUUGAUAGUUCGUCUUGAUUAAAGCUUUUCCAGCAAUGCCCAACCUUGGUUUUACCAUUUUCCACCUAGCCUUUCUUUCCCUUGGGUUCUGCAGACUCAAGGGUCAUCAUUAUUUUAACCCCCCGGGCCAGUGCUCCUCUGAGUGUUGGUCCAAACCGUCAGCCGCCGGUGGCUACCAGGGGCAACCCUGGGCUGGCCUACCGGAAGUUUGGACAAUCUGAGUGUGCCCUGAGAAAGAGAUAUGUGCAGCUCCUAUCGGGAUUUGUCGGCACAUUCGGGCGGUGUUGCUGGUCUUGUUUUAACCUGUCGAAGUGUCUUGAAUUACCGAGAUACCGAGUCUGAUCGGAACGUCUUGGGAGGAGGUCUAUUCCUUCGUUGACCGUGAGAGCUUGUCAUGGGCUAAGUUGGGACUCCCCUACAGGGAUUGAACUUUCGAAAGCCGUGCCCGCGGUUAUGGGCAGAUGGGAAUUUGUUAAUGUCCGGUUGUAGAUAACUUGAACCUUAACUUAAUUAAAAUGAAUCAACUGAGUGUGUUACCGUGAUGGCCUCUUCUCGGCGGAGUCCGGGAAGUGGACACGGUGUUGGAGUAAUGUUUGCGCAGGUUGCUCUCUAGUUUCUCGCUCACGCUUUGCCUCCUCUUCCGCUCUGUUUUGCGAAUAAGUUAGCCACCAUACUUGCUAGUCGCUUGCUGCAGCUCCACAUAUUUCUACCUUGCCAUACCUAUAAGCUUAAAUAGUCUUGAUCGCGAGGGUGCGAGAUUGCUGAGUCCCUGUGGCUCACAGUUUACUAUUACACCAGAUGCAGGGCCUGAUGAUUCCGCUCCAGGAGACGCGUAUGAGCUCAAGUGGGAGUUCGACGAAGACUCUCGACGUUACUAUGUUUCCUUUCCCGAUGAUCAGUAGUGGUGCCCAGUUGGGGGUGAACGGGACCGUUAUCGCAUGUUGAGUUCUUUUUUAUUUUGGCGCCGUAGUCCGGCCAUGAGUGUUUGGAUGAUGUAAUGUUAUUUAUGUACUUGAUUGACGUGGCGAGUGUAAGCCAACUAUGUUAUCUCCCCUUUAUUAUUAUAUUACAUUGGAUGUUGUGAAGAUUGCCUAACUUGCGACAUAUGCCUUCAAUGCGAUUAUGCCUCUAAGUCGUGGCUCGACACGUGGGAGAUAUAGUCGCAUCGAAGGUGUUACAAGUUGGUAAUCAGAGCCUUCCCCGACCUUAGGAGCCCCAUUACUUGAUCGUUUUUAGCGGCCGAGUUGUGUCUAGAAAAAUGUUUUGAGUCUUUUAGGAAUUAUAUAUCGUAGAGUUUAGGAAUUCUUUUUACUUCCCAGUCUCCUCAUCGCUCUGGUAAGGCAUCCUGAUGUAGAGUUUUGACUCUUCUCUUCUCAAAUUUCACUAAUUUUUUUUAGGAUCACGCGGGUAUCUUAGAAUCGUUUCGAUGGUUUUAUGAUGAGAACAUUGUCUUGGUGCCUCGUGUCAGGGGUUUAGUGGAAGUGUCCCGGGGAGUUGAGCUCUGAGGUGUUGUCAUCAUAAUUUUAUCGUUGCAGUUCUGGAAUACCUGAGUUUAGUACGCCGACAUCAAAAAUCUCUUUUAUGCAGUUCGUUGUGAGAUAACCUCGACGCCACCCAGCACUGGGGCGGGAGUUCGGGAGUAUCGCCAUAACUUGUAUAACGGAUGCUUUUCGAAGGUUGAGGUAGAUGGUUUCUGAAGGUUUCUUGGUUAUGUGUUGAAGGAUGGAUACAGCUGGAUGUAGGAUUUGCUAGUUUGGGUGAGAUAUUAUGCUUCCCCUGUAUCCCCAACACCUGAUUGCAUAACCGGAAAGGUUCGGGAGUUUCAUAGGUGGGAAUUCUAGUAGCUCUAGUUCUUCUUCCACGGAUAUUUGUUUGAGAUUGGGAUUUCUUACCGAUUAUUCGUUCUUGAUCCGUAGCUUGUUGAUUUAUUUCUCUACCUUAAUUCUACGUGGCUUCUCAAUUUAUGGAUAUGUGACCAUUUCAAGAGAAAUGCAUUUGUUCAUUUUGUUCGGAUGUGAAGACUAUAUGUUGCAAUUUUCAUUCCGUUGGAUUCAGCUUCAAUAUUUGUCUGUCUAUGUGCUAAUGGUGGUCAACCUCUUCAGGAUGGCUCCUCCAACGCGCACGACUCCGAAUCCUGAUCCGCCACCACCUCCACCUCCUCCGGAGGCAUGGCAAGCUGUGAUGGCCGCAACCAAUGCAAACACACAGUUGAUCAUGCAAAUUCUUCAAGAGCGCAAUCAAGGCAACCAAGGGAAUCAAGGCAGCAAUCAGAAUCACUUUGCUUCACUCAACCAGUUCCUUAGUAACGGGCCAAAGACUUUCAGCAAUUGUGUGGAGGCAACCGAUGCUGACGAUUGGCUUGUGGAUCUGGGCAAGCAUUUCGAGUGCAGUAACGUCAGGCCUGAGGACUUUGUUAAGUUCGCUUCCUUCCAACUCAAAGAUCAAGCUGCAGAAUGGUUCCAGCAGUACAAGGAUUCCAGAGGUGGACGUGUUAUCACUUGGGAUGAUUUCCGUCGAGAUUUCUGAGCUCAUCAUAUUCCUCAGAGCAUGGUUGAAAGCAAGCGUGAGGAAUUCCGCAAUCUGAAGCAAGGCUCUUUGUCUGUCUAUAACUACAACAAGUUGUUCCAGAAGCUCGCCCGCUUUGCCAAGCAGGACGUCCCUGAUGAGAAGAGCAUGAUAUAUCAGUUCAGGGGUGGUCUCAGAGAAGAAAUUCAGCUAGCUCUUGUUCUCUUCGAGCCCUUGAGAUACGAUGAGUUCUACAACAUGGCACUGAAGCAAGAGGCUGCUCAGUUGAGGUGUGAUGCUUCCAAGAAGCGAGUCAGAGAUGUUACUCCUUCUUCCUCUACUCAAGUGGCCAAGCAGCAGAAGUAUUGGCUUCCUCCUCCUCCGUUCCGUCAACCGUAUCAGCAGAAGAGCAAAGGUGGCAGUGGUUCUUCCCACCCACCCAACCCUGGCUUUCAGAACAAGACUUCGUCUCAAGCUCCAAGAUCGAGUGCUCCGUAUCACCGUCCGCUUUCAGAGGUCACGUGCAACAAGUGCCAACAGAAGGGUCACUACGCCAACAAGUGUUUCAACCAGAGGCGUCUUCCUCCUCCUCCUCCUGUCAGAUCGGCAAGUACAGCUAUGGUCAAGCAUAACCCCAAGCACGCCAAGGUCAACUUGAUGAAUGCAGCCCAGGCAGAGGACUCGUCAGAUGUGAUUAUGGGUAACCUUCCUGUUAACGAUGUUCCUGCAAAAGUUCUUUUUGACACUGGUGCAUCGCAUUGCUUCAUCUCGAAAUCUUUUGUAUCUAAGCAUGAGUUGACUUCCCAAGUUAUGCAUAAACCGUUAGCAGUUGUCUCUCCGGGUAAAUGUUUGCUCGCUAAUCACGAGAUUCCGUAUGUUUCUAUCAUGAUGGGUGAUUUCAAGUUUCUGGCUUCUCCGAUGGUUCUGGGUAACUCGGAUAUUGAUCUUAUCCUCGGGAUUGAUUGGCUUUCUAAGCACAAGGCUCAGCUUGAUUGUGCAGCCAGGCAGAUUCAAUUGACUCAUUCGUCUGAGGAUGUAAUUGUCUUUGCCGCUCAGGAUAAUACCAUCCGUCUGUUUUCUCUCAAUGAGAAGGGUGAACUCGAUGCCAUCUCGCAAAUUCCAGUUGUUUGCGAAUAUCAAGACGUCUUUCUAGAAGAGCUUCCAGGAAUGCCUCCGCACCGGCCAGUUGAAUUCGUUAUUGAUCUUGAGCCUGGCAUGGAACCUGUGUGUAAACGUCCUUACAAGCUCGGACCUGAAGAGUUGAAGGAGCUGAAGAAGCAACUCGAUAUUCAAGAGAAAAUGGGUCUCAUCCGGCCUAGUUCUUCUCCGUGGGGUUGUGGUGUUCUUUUUGUGAAGAAGAAGGAUGGAACGGACCGACUUUGUGUUGAUUACCGUCCAGUGAACAAGAAGACCAUCAAGAACAAAUACCCACUUCCCAACAUCAAUGAGCUGUUCGAACAACUCAAAGGUGCCCAAGUAUUCUCCAAGCUUGAUCUCCGUAUGGGUUAUCAUCAGAUUCGAAUCCCUGAGCAAGAUAUUCUCAAGACGGCUUUCAGGACAAGCUUUGGUUCAUAUGAAUACACUGUCAUGUCUUUUGGUCUCGUCAACGCCCCUCCGACGUUCUCUCGCAUGAUGAACUUCAUCUUCAAUGCCUACACCAAUGACUUCGUUUUGGUCUAUCUCGACGACAUUCUGGUUUUCUCGAAGAACAAGGAAGAUCAUGCCAAGCACUUGCGUUUGGUUCUUGAUAAGCUCAGGGAACAUCAGUUCUACGCCAAGUUCUCCAAGUGUGAAUUUUGGCUCAAUGAGGUUCUUUAUCUUGGUCAUAUCAUCUCUGCCAAGGGCAUUGCCGUGAAUCCUGAGAAGGUGUCUGCAAUUGUGAAUUGGGAACCUCCUCAGAACAUGAAGCAACUCCGCAGUUUUCUCGGUCUCGCAAGCUAUUGCCGAAGAUUCAUUGAAAACUUUUCUAAGAUCGCGAAGCCUCUCUCAAAUCUUCUCCAGAAGCACGUCAAGUACGUUUGGUCUCCGGAGUGUGAUAUUGCUUUCAACACUUUGAAAGAGAAAUUGCUCACUGCUCCAGUUCUGACUCCGCCUGAUGAAUCCAAGCCGUACGAGGUCUUUUGUGAUGCCUCUCUCCAAGGUCUUGGCGCAGUAUUGAUGCAAGAGAAGAAAGUUGUUGCUUAUACUUCUCGCCAGUUGAAGCCUAAUGAGAAGAACUACCCCACUCAUGAUCUCGAGUUGGCGGCAGUUGUGCAUGCUCUUUUGACUUGGAGACAUCUUCUAUUGGGAAGAAAAGUGGACAUUUUCACUGAUCACAAGAGUCUCAAGUACAUCUUUACUCAGCCUAAUCUCAACCUCAGGCAGACUCGAUGGGUCGAAAUGAUUGAAGAGUAUAAUCCGAGUAUUGAGUAUACUCCAGGCAAGGCUAAUGUGAUUGCUGACGCUUUGAGCAGGAAAGCUUACUGCAACAGUCUUAUUCUCAAGCCUUAUCAACCCGAGCUUUGUGAAGCUUUUCGCAAACUUAACCUGCAAGUUGUUCCUCAAGGUUUCCUCGCUAACCUUCUAGUCUCUCCUACCUUGGAAGACCAUAUUCGCCAAGCCCAGCUUCUUGAUGCUAUGGUGAAAAAGGUGAAGAUUGGGAUUGCCAAGAGUCAACCCAAGUACAAGUGCUACCGCCUUGAUGAAAAGGAUACUCUCUUCUUCGAGGAUCGUAUUGUUGUACCCAAAGGUGACCUCCGUAAAGUGAUCAUGAACGAGGCUCACAAUUCUCUCCUCUCCAUCCACCCUGGGAGCACGAAGAUGUAUCAGGACCUUAAGCAAGCUUAUUGGUGGACUCGAAUGAAGCGCGAGAUUGCUCAAUUCGUGAAUGAAUGUGAUGUCUGCAGAAGAGUGAAGGCAGAACACCAAAGGCCAGCAGGUCUCCUCCAACCUCUUGCCAUUCCAGAAUGGAAGUUUGACCACAUUGAAAUGGACUUCGUGACUGGGUUUCCAAAUUCCAAGCGUGGCAAUGAUGCUAUAUUCGUUGUCAUCGACAAACUCAUCAAAGUGGCUCAUUUUCUGCCUAUCAAAGAGUCGAUCACUGCAGCUCAAUUGGCGGAACUCUAUACCUCUCGUAUUGUCUCUCUGCACGGUAUUCCACAAGUGAUCUCUUCAGACCGUGGCAGCAUCUUUAGCUCGAAGUUUUGGGAUUCUUUUCAGAAGGCCAUGGGCACUAACAUCCACUUCAGCACAGCAUUCCAUCCUCAAACUAGCGGUCAAGUCGAGCGUGUCAACCAGAUUCUUGAAGAUAUGCUCAGGGCUUGUGUGAUCUCCUUCGGCAUGAAGUGGGAGGAUUGUCUUCCUUAUGCUGAAUUCUCCUACAACAACAGUUUUCAAGCAAGUUCGGGCAAGGCCCCAUUUGAAAUUCUGUAUGGCAGGAAGUGCCGUACCCCUCUCAACUAGUCCGAAACCGAUGAACGUCAGCUUUUGGGUAAUGACUUAAUCACAGAGGCAGAAGAAAUGUGCAAAGUCAUUCGUGAUAACCUCAAAGCAGCCCAAUCCCGCCAGAAGAGCUACUAUGAUAGUAAGCACUGUGAUUUGGCUUUUGAGAUCGGAGAUCAUGUUUACCUCCACGUCUCUCCUAUGAAAGGUACUCGUCGCUUCGGUAUCAAAGGGAAGCUUGCCCCCAGAUACGUGGGACCUUUCAAGAUUGUCAGCAAGAGAGGCGACCUCGCCUAUCAACUCGAGCUUCCUUCAAACUUUGCAAAUGUUCAUGACGUGUUCCAUGUCUCUCAGCUUUGAAAGUGCUUCAAGACUCCCGACCGCACCGUCAACUUUGAGGACAUUGAGCUCCAAGAAGAUCUCUCUUAUCGUGAGCAUCGAGUUGCUAUUCUCGAAGAGACUGAACGCAAGACUCGCAACAAGUCAAUCAAAUUUCUCAAAGUCAAGUGGUCACACCAUCCCGACCAUGAAGCUACCUGGGAACGCGAGGAUCACCUCCGUUCUGAGUACCCGACGUUCUUUCAGUCCUAGAUCUCGGGACGAGAUCCUUUCGUAGUGGUGGAGUGUUGUAACACCCCGGAUGUAACUUUCCCAAUUUGUACUCCAACUCUUGCCGUUUCCGGUGUUAAGUUAUAUUUAUUUUCUCGGGUUCGGGUUUUUGUCUCCGUGUGUUGUUGUCAUUGUCAUGCAUCUCAUAUCAUGUCAUCAUGUGCAUUUCAUUUGCAUACAUGUUUGUCUCAUGCAUUCGAGCAUUUUCCCCGUUGUCCGUUUUGCAUUCCGGCGCUUCGUUCUCCUCCGGUGGUCAUUUCUAGCUUUCUUUCGUGUGUGAGGAUUAAACAUUUCUGGAUUGGACCGAGACUUGCCAAGCGGCUUUGGUUUACUACCGGUAGACCGCCUGUGAAGUUUCGUACCAUUUGGACUUCGUUUGAUACUUCAACGAUUAACCGAGGGACCGAAAAGGCCUCGUGUGUGUUGCAGACCAACACCCCUCCAAUUUGGCCCAAAACCCACCUAACUCUGCUCCAUCAUCUAGAUCGUUCGAUCACAAUCAUGUGGCCAAAAACCGCACCUCAUUUGGACUCUCCUAGCUCCCUCUAUGCCUAUAAAUAGGUCCCCCUCGAAAUAUCCCGGAUCCCGUCUCCCCGAAACCCUAAAUCCCAGAUCCGCGCCGGCCGGACACGUCCGCCCCGGCCGGNNNNNNNNNNNNNNNNNNNNNNNNNNNNNNNNNNNNNNNNNNNNNNNNNNNNNNNNNNNNNNNNNNNNNNNNNNNNNNNNNNNNNNNNNNNNNNNNNNNNNNNNNNNNNNNNNNNNNNNNNNNNNNNNNNNNNNNNNNNNNNNNNNNNNNNNNNNNNNNNNNNNNNNNNNNNNNNNNNNNNNNNNNNNNNNNNNNNNNNNNNNNNNNNNNNNNNNNNNNNNNNNNNNNNNNNNNNNNNNNNNNNNNNNNNNNNNNNNNNNNNNNNNNNNNNNNNNNNNNNNNNNNNNNNNNNNNNNNNNNNNNNNNNNNNNNNNNNNNNNNNNNNNNNNNNNNNNNNNNNNNNNNNNNNNNNNNNNNNNNNNNNNNNNNNNNNNNNNNNNNNNNNNNNNNNNNNNNNNNNNNNNNNNNNNNNNNNNNNNNNNNNNNNNNNNNNNNNNNNNNNNNNNNNNNNNNNNNNNNNNNNNNNNNNNNNNNNNNNNNNNNNNNNNNNNNNNNNNNNNNNNNNNNNNNNNNNNNNNNNNNNNNNNNNNNNNNNNNNNNNNNNNNNNNNNNNNNNNNNNNNNNNNNNNNNNNNNNNNNNNNNNNNNNNNNNNNNNNNNNNNNNNNNNNNNNNNNNNNNNNNNNGCCGCCCCGCGCCCGUCCUCCUCCGCCACUCGUCGCUGCGGCCGAGCCCGCUCGCCGCCGUUCAAGCCCGGCGCCGGCCGCCCUCGUCCUCACCUUCUCCUCGCCGGCCCGGCCGCCACCGACUCGUCGGUGAACAGUGCUCGCGCCGCCGCCUUGAUUUGCGUGCAGAUCUGGAAACCCUAGGUCGUUUUUUUUCUCUAACUCCCGAAAUUGCAGAUCCAAGUGCCUCUAUUCGUAGCUCCGUAACUUUGCAUCCGUAGCUCUAGGGAUGGCAAUGGGUAGGGUAUGGGCGGGUACAACCUCCUUCUACCCAAAUCCAUACCCAUAGAAACUUUCUAUACCCACCCACUUCAAUACCCAUGGGCAUAAACUGACACCCAUACCCAUACCCAUCGGGUAUCCUAUACCCAAUGGGUAUCCAUUGGAUACAAUAUAUAGCACGUAUGUGGCCUCCUCCAGUGGGUGGCCUCUUGGAGGCAUCAGGGGAGUAUGAGCAGCGGUUGGCGGAAGACCGACGUAGUGGAAGGCGGUGGUGGGAAUUGGGGAUCGCUGGAUCGAGUGUUCAACAAGAGUCUGGUAGCUAAGAGUCGAUAUUUCAUCUUUUGAGGAGUUACAUAGGACGUAUGAGGAGUGGCGAGCAGGUGAUUAUGAGCCUAUGAGCUAUGACUUGUUUAAGGAAUACAAGAUUUAGGGUUGGACCAUAUGAGUUGGAUGUUAACCUCACAUGUUAUAGGAGUUUUUUUUUCUGGGUAUCCAUUGGGUUACCCAUGGGCACAAUUUCUUACCCAUGCCCUACCCAUAUAUUUUGCGGGUAUGGAUACCCAUUACCCGUGGGUAGAAAAUCUCUUCAAGUCUUGCCCAUACCCAUUGUUUUCGGGUAGAGUACCCGUGGGUAGCCAUACCCAUGGGCAAAACUGCCAUCCCUACGUAGCUCCGAUUCAUGCAUAUAGCAUAUCAAAAUGUUCAUUUCAGAGAGUACAUCAUUUCAUUCCAUUGUAUCAUUUUCAUUUGAGCUCAUCUUCAUGCCUGAAAUGUUGUUAGAAGAGGGCUACUUGAGAUAUUUGUCACAUCUACUACUCCGUUUAGGUUUUUGUCAUUUUUGCCAUGAUUAAUGUGUGCAUGAUAUGCCCUGAUGCUCUACAUGUGUUUUGUUAAGGGUUUUGUCAUCUUUCCAGAGGUGCAACCCAUGUAUUUUUGUGAUGUGUGUGGUGACUUGUGCAAGCUUGCAAAGUGGUGCACUUAGUAAUUCUGUUUUCAGGGACUUAGCAAUUCCACAAAGUCCUUGAUCUGUUUAUCUCAUGUUGCCAUAUGUUCAUGUUGUUUCCUAGUGAUCCGUGCCUCUUUUGAGGAUGAUCAGUAAGGAUGUUUUGUUAAUAUUGCAGUGCUCUAUCCAUACAUGUCUUUGUUUGCAAUUAUGGAGCACCCUAGCUUGAGUCAAUCGAGCUCUACUUUUGCUACUUUGUGAAUCUGGGCAGAUUGUCAACUUGUUUGCAAUUUUGCCGAUGAUGUUGUAGUUGAUCCGUGCAUGCUAUGCUAUUGUUCUUGCCAUGUCUAGCUUGCAUUUUGUGCCUUCUUGUUCGGUGUAUGCUUGUCUUGCCAUGACUUGCACCGUAGUGAGUGCAUCGAGCUCGUAAACAUGCCUACUUGAGUUAUAUUUCAGCAUGUGCCAGUUUUCACUAAGUCUGUGAUCUGAUUAUGUUUUUGCUAUGUUCACAUGCUUGCAAUUGUAUUUUCUGAUCCCUUUUGACUCAAGGUCACUAAGGGACUUUUGUUAAGCUCUUUGAGUAGCUCCAUGCCAUACUUUACUUUGCCAUGUUCAGGUCCUGUAGCAUAUAGUUUUGUUGCUCCGAAGAGGGCUAUCUGAUCUGAAAUUCCAGACAAGUGUUAAUUUCACUAAGUCUGAGAUCUGUUUGUCAUAUGCAUUUUUCCAUGCUUGUUUGAACCUGUUAAUGGAUGAAUUGGCCGUAGCUCAGUGCUAGACUUUUGUUAAGCAUCUUGUGUGCAUCCCUGCCAUGUAUUUUGUUGCCAUGUUUGGGUGCUGUAGCAUGUUCAUCUCUUUGCAUUUAGAUGCCUACUUGCUGUAAACCGCAGACCUGUGUCAUAUUUGAAUCGCUUGCCAUUUCCAAACCGUAACUCCGAUCCCGGUGUUCUUUAUAUCGUUUUCAAGCGAUUUCAUCUCAUCUUUCCAGUGGCACACUUGGAAUCCCAAGUUGAGGCCAGGUUCAUGCAUUUCCUGUCAUAUCUUGCAUUUUGCAUCCCGCAUCGUAUCCCGCAUAGCAUAUCAUCAUUGCACCAUGUUGCUUGAUCCUUGCACGUGUUUGAUUGUAUCCUUGUUGCUUGUUUGUCUUGUUUGGGUAAAGCCGGGAGACGAGUUCGCUAACGAGGAGCCCGUUGAGUUUGCUUUCGAGGAUCCAGUCAACUCUGACUACUAUGCAGGCAAGAUGAUCAUACCCUCGAAAUCACUACUAUCUUUGCUAUGCUAGUUUGCUUGCUCUUUUGCUAUGCUAAUGCUACGAUGCCUACCACUUGCUUGCAAGGCUCCCAAAUUGCCAUGUCAAACCUCUAACCCACCAUUGUCCUAGCAAACCGUUGAUUGGCUAUGUUACCGCUUUGCUCAACCCCUCUUAUAGCGUUGUUAGUUGCAGGUGAAGAUUGAAGGCCGUUCCUUGUUGGAACAUCUUUUAUUUACUUGUUGGGAUAUCAUUAUAUUGCUAUGUUAUCUUAAAUGCAUCUAUAUACUUGGUAAAGGGUGGAAGGCUCGGCCUCUCGCCUAGUGUUUUGUUCCACUCUUGCUACCCUAGUUUCCGUCAUAUCGGUGUUAUGUUCCCGGAUUUUGCGUUCCUUACGCGGUUGGGUUAUAAUGGGAACCCCUUGAUAGUUCGUCUUGAUUAAAGCUUUUCUAGCAAUGCCCAACCUUGGUUUUACCAUUUGCCACCUAGCCUUUCUUUCCCUUGGGUUCUGCAGACUCAAGGGUCAUCAUUAUUUUAACCCCCCGGGCCAGUGCUCCUCUGAGUGUUGGUCCAAACCGUCAGCCGCCGAUGGCUACCAGGGGAAACUCUGGGCUGGCCUACCGGAAGUUUGGACAAUCUGAGUGUGCCCUGAGAAAGAGAUAUGUGCAGCUCCUAUCGGGAUUUGUCGGCACAUUCGGGCGGUGUUGCUGGUCUUGUUUUAACCUGUCGAAGUGUCUUGAAUUACCGAGAUACCGAGUCUGAUCAGAACGUCUUGGGAGGAGGUCUAUUCCUUCGUUGACCGUGAGAGCUUGUCAUGGGCUAAGUUGGGACUCCCCUGUAGGGACUGAACUUUCGAAAGCCGUGCCCGCGGUUAUGGGCAGAUGGGAAUUUGAUAAUGUCCGGUUGUAGAUAACUUGAACCUUAACUUAAUUAAAAUGAAUCAACUGAGUGUAUUACCGUGAUGGCCUCUUCUCAGCAGAGUCCGGGAAGUGGACACGGUGUUGGAGUAAUGUUUGCACAGGUUGCUCUCUAGUUUCUCGCUCACGCUUUGCCUCCUCUUCCCGCUCUGUUUUGCGAAUAAGUUAGCCACCAUACUUGCUAGUCGCUUGCUGCAGCUCCACAUAUUUCUACCUUGCCAUACCUAUAAGCUUAAAUAGUCUUGAUCGCGAGGGUGCGAGAUUGCUGAGUCCCUGUGGCUCACAGUUUACUAUUACACCAGAUGCAGGGCCUGAUGAUUCCGCUCCAGGAGACGCGUAUGAGCUCAAGUGGGAGUUCGACGAAGACUCUCGACGUUACUAUGUUUCCUUUCCCGAUGAUCAGUAGUGGGGCCCAGUUGGGGGUGAACGGGACCAUUGUCGCAUGUUGGGUUCUCUUUUAUUUUGGCGCCGUAGUCGGGCCAUGAGUGUUUGGAUGAUGUAAUGUUAUUUAUGUACUUGAUUGACGUGGUGAGUGUAAGCCAACUAUGUUAUCUCCCCUUUAUUAUUAUUAUAUUACAUGGGAUGUUGUGAAGAUUGCCUAACUUGCGACAUAUGCCUUCAAUGCGAUUAUGCCUCUAAGUCGUGCCUCGACACGUGGGAGAUAUAGUCGCAUCGAGGGUGUUACACAUCAAGAUCGUAUCAUCACAAGAACACGAGAUAGAGAGAGAUCAAACACAUAGCUACUGGUACAUACCCUCAGCCCCGAGGGAGAACUACUCCCUCCUCGUCAUGGAGAGCACCGGGAUGAUGAAGAUGGCCACCGGUGAGGGUUCCCCCCUCCGGCAGGGUGCCAGAACAGGGUCCUGAUUGGUUUUUGGUGGCUACGGAGGCUUUUGGCGGCGGAACUCCCGAUCUAUUGUGCGUUCUGGAAGUUUUAGGUCACGUAGGUAUAUAUGGGUGCAGGGAGGACGUCGGAGGAGCCACGGGGGCCCCACGAGACAGGGGGCACGCCCUAGGGGGGCACCCCCCACCCUCGUGAGCACCUCGUGUCUCCCCUGACAUAGGGUCCAAGUCCAUCAGGUGUGUUUCCUUCCAAAAAUAACUUCUCCGGUUGAUUUUGUUCCGUUUCGACUCCGUCUGAUAUUCCUUUUCUUCGAAACACUGAAAUAGGCAUAAAACAACAAAUCUGGGCUGGGCCUCCGGUUAAUAGGUUAGUCCCAAAAGUAAUAUAAAAGUGGAAAAUAAAGCCCAAUAUUGCCCAAAAUAGUAGAUAAUAUAGCAUGGAGCAAUCAAAAAUUAUAGAUACGUUGGAGACGUAUCAGCUGACGAGGUUGUCAAAUCCCUAGCACUGACCACAACACGGCGGUGGCUACCUGCACCACCUUGCCGUUCAUUGUUAUGGAAGUGUGAUGUGAUGAGCUUCUCCUAGCGGCUUAGAGGUGAAGCCAGGGGAGGAAGGGUGGGAUGCAUUGUCAUGCUCGAUCUUGACAUCUUGUAUUGACAGUUUGACACAGUGCUGGGUGACAGUGGGAAGCCUAUUGGAAUCAACUUUUGAUGUUCGAUCCCCUCUACUUCUUUAACAUUGUUCAAAUGAUACACACUAUGCUUAGUAUUUUGUUUCCUAGGAAUAAGGGCUAGAAUAUUUUCGUGCAAAAAGGUUCGCAAUAUAAAUAUAUGGAUGGUGACACUUUAAUUAGUGGCCCGUGCGCUGAUCACCCGGCAAGCGGGGCACCGGCUGGGUUUGCUCAAGCAAACUCUCUUCCUUGUUAACUUUUUGUGUCUCAUGUUUCUUUUGUCUAUCCAGACUUUGAUUUCCAUUAUGGUGUACAUGCCAUGUGUUUGGUGCAAUGCACAAGAGGAAUCAUUGGGCUCAACCGUCUUUAUUUUCUAUGUACGAGGAGCCCAGGAGUACAUCAUGGACUCACUACAGCAGAUGCCAUUAACCUCCGUAGUCCAUUGCUGUAACUGAUGUUCAUAUCAAUUUACCAUAUGGAAGAUUAAAUUUUCACUCCGCAUCAAGAUCUUUAUGUGGUUCGUCCACAAAGAAGUCAUCUUGAUCAAAGAUAAUUUGAUGAAAAGGAAUUGGGUUGGUAACCCCAGGUGCUAUUUUUGUGAUCAAAAUGAAACGAUUAAACACCUUUUUCUCGAGUGUCCACUUGCAAAAUUGUUAUGACAAUCUAUCCAUAUAGCUUUUAACAUCCAACCUCCAAUGAGCAUAAACACAUUAUUGGGAAAGUGGCUUAAUGGAGUAGACAUAUGUAACACCCACGAUGCGGCUAUAUCUCCCACGUGUCGGAGCACGACUUAGAGGCAUAACCGCAUAGUUGGCAUGUCGCAAGAGGGGUAAUCUUUACACAUCCCAUGUACUGAAUAAGAGAGGGAUAAAGAGCUGGCUUACAAUCGCCACUUCACACAAUACAUAAAUAUAGCAUUACAUCAUCCAGACACAAUCAUGGUCCGACUACAGAACCAAAUAAAGAAAAACAACAACCCCUAAUGCAUAGAUCCCCGAUCGCCCCGACUGAGCUCCUCUAUUGAUCAACUGGAAACGAAAACAACACAAUGAACACGAUGUUCAUCGAGCUCCCACUUGAGCUGGGUUGCGUCACCUGCACUGGUAUCAUCGGCACCUGCAACUGUUUUGGAAGUAAUCUGUGAGUCAUGGGGACUCAGCAAUCUCACACCCGCGAGAUCAAGACUAUUUUAGCUUAUGGGUAGGAAAAGGGUAGUGAGGUGGAGCUGUAGCAAGCACUAGCAUGUAUGGUGGCUAACUUACGCAAAUAAGAGUGAGAAGAGAAGCAAAGCGCGGUCGUGAACUAGAAGUGAUCAAGAAGUGAUCCUGAAACUACUUACGUUCAAACAUAACUCCAAAACCGUGUUCACUUCCCGAACUUCGCCGGAAAGAGACCAUCACGGCUACACACGUGAUUGAUGCAUUUUAGUUAAAGUUAAGUGGCAAGUUUUCUACAACCGGACAUUAACAAAUUCCCAUCUGUCCAUAAUCGCGGGCACGGCUUUCGAAAUUUCAAACCCUGCAGGGGGUGUCCCAACCUAGCCCAUCACAAGCUCUCAUGGUCAACGAAGGAUAUUCCUUCUCCCAGGAAGACCUGAUCAGGCUCAGAAUCCCGGUUACAAGACAUUUCGACAAUGGUAAAACAAGACCAGCAAGACCGCCAGAUGCGCCGACAUCCCGAUAGGAGCUGCACAUAUCUCGUUCUCAGGGCAACACCGGAUUGUCCAAACUUCCAGUAGGCCAGCCCAGAGUUGCCCCUGAUGGCCACCGGCGGCUGACAGUUUCGGACCAACACUUAGACAAGCACUGGCUCGAGGGAGUUAAAAUAAAGAUGACCCUCGAGAGUGUGACUCCCAAGGGAAAAGUAGGUGGUGGGGAGGCAAAUGGUAAAACCACGGUUGGGCCUUGCUGGAGGAGUUUUAUUCAAAGCAAACUGUCAAGGGGUCCCCAUAACACCCAACCGUGUAAGGAACGCAAAAUCAAGGAACAUAACACCAGUAUGACGGAAACUAGGGCGGCAAGAGUGGAACAAAACACCAGGCAUAAGGCCGAGCCUUCCACCGUUUACCAAGUAUAUAGAUGCAUUAAUUAACAUAAAAGAUAUUGUGAUAUCCCAAUAUAACCAUGUUCCAACAUGGAACAAACUUCAAUCUUCACCUGCAACUAGCAAUGCUAUAAGAGGGGCUGAGCAAAGCGGUAACAUAGCCAAACAACGGUUUGCUAGGACAAGGUGGGUUAGAGGCUGAACAUGGCAAUAUGGGAGGCAUGAUAAAGCAUGUCGUAGGUAUCGCGGCAUAGCAAUAGAGCGAGCAACUAGCAAGCAAAGAUAGAAGUGAUUUCGAGGGUAUGGUCAUCUUGCCUGAGACCUCGGAAGGAAGAAGAACGAGUCCAUGAAGAAGACAAACGGACGUAGACGAACGGAUCCUCACAAACGCGACGUUAUCGGAACCAACCCGAAGAAGCAACACCGGAAAUAAGCAAACCACAUAGUAAACAAUCAACACAUCAACAUGGCAUGAUGCACAAUCGAGUAUGAUGCAUGUCCGGUUUAAAUAUGCGUGGCAUGGCAAAGUGCACAAACAAUCCUACAAAUUAAGUGGAGCUCAAUAUGCAACUCCGUUGCAUAGUCACGAAACACCACGUGACUUAUUUAGUUCUCUCUCAUUUAAGUGCCCAACAAUAUUAAAUGUUGAUUAACAUGGCAAGAGGUGAAGCAAAUGAAAACUACCUAUCUAGGCAAGUUUAAAAUGAGGCCGGAACAACAAACAACAAGUCCGGAAAAUCCUCAUGUGCAUAUUGUAAAAUUGGUACUGUUCUGCCCUAAACCAUAUUUUAGAGUUGUAAAACAUGCAACAAGAGUGCACCAUGUUAAACUAGGCAUUUUUCUACCCCAUUUACAUAUAAAGUUCAUUAAAUUUGGAGCUACGGUUAUUUAGUUAUGAAUUAAAUCAUUUUAACAUGGCAAUAGGCAAAUUAUAAGCAAACAUCAUUUUAAACAUGCCAAACAUGAUUGAAAGUUGGAUAUUAUGAAACUAGAUGAAAUUCUAGUCAAGUUUCAUAUAUAAAGUUUUUACAUAUGACGCAUUAUUCAUGAGUUAUUAUAUGCAUGGAGACUAGGGGUUUUUCUAUAAAACCGUAAACUCUGGAAUAAAUAGGAAAAUCAUAGAGCCUAAAAAAGACUUUGGGCCGAAUCUGGCCGGCCCAAAGUGCACAGGGGGGGUUCUUACCCAGUGGGCCUGGCCCAGAUCGGUGGUGAGGGAGGUUUGUUUGGAAGGGGGGCGGUGCUGGGCCUGUCAAGGCUGGUUGGUGGACCUCGCGCGAGACACGGCCCAGGCGCGGGUCUUCUGCGGUCAAUGCGACAACGAGGGAGCGCUCGUCCUCGACUGAAACGAAGCAGUCGCAGCUGGGGAGCGAGGUUCAGAGCGGUAGCAGCGGCUGAAACGAGCGGGUCCAGGGGCUGAAUGCCGUUCUUCGGCGAGGUUCUAGGCGGCGGCAAGAGUCACCGGAUCUGGGCGGUGGAGGUCGGGGACGGCCUGUUCUGGCUGGAGACGAGGCCAUGGGCGGCGCUGGCAGUUCCUGUCGGCGGCAAAAGAUCAGGCCACAUGUAGCAGGAGGGGAAGCAAGAAGAAACAGUGGGAGUGGGAGAAGAGGAGCGACGGGGAGGUCCUGGCCUGUUGACGGCGGGGCUGCGGCUCGCUCUGGGUGAGCGACUGGUCGGCGGCUCGGCUGCAGAGGCACGGGGGAACGAUCCAGGAGGUGGGAAGCGGAGGCCGAUGGAUGACAGGGAAUGGCCGUCAGCGACGAACCCCAAGGGCGCUGGCGCGAUUUGGUCGAAGCCGAUCAUGGGGUCUCGUUCCUGGCGUCUUGCGGGAGUUCCUGUUGAAGAAGAAAAACAUAGAGGAAUGAGAGAGAUCGAGAGGAACGACGAAGCACCGGGAAGGAGAAGAAGAAGGGAGGUGGCGGUGCUCAUCUCAGAUGAAGCUCAUCGGCGGCGAUGCGAGGUGUAGGAGGCAGGUGAGCUCUGCUGGUCCUCGGGGAGAACAAGCGGAGGGGCGGGAGUCUGGCUCCAUGGAGGUGCUCGAAGCAGGGGAUCCAGGGGCGCAGUCCAAUUGGAGCUCGAGGGAGGCAGUGGACCGAUGGAUUGGCUGUUGACUGAAAUCGAGGGGAGGUGGUGGAUCGGGAGGGAUCCCGAGAAAGAGUGUGGCGACGGCGCUAGGGUAGGAUCCCUAGAAAUUAGGUGUGUUGUCUAGAUAUAUAUAGUAGGUAGGUGAAAGGAGAGGGAUUUGGAUCAUCAGAUCGAAAUCCGAUGGGCGAGAAUAAAUAUGCUAAAGAGUCCAAUAAAUAAAACGAUGAUAUUUUGUAGAUGUUUGGGGAUGUUCCGGACCCGGUGGUGAUGACUAUCCGGGCCGGGUUCGGGACAGUUUUCGGACGCGCACACGAGGGUGUCGAAGCACUGUGCAAGGAGGGGUAGGCUGGCCUAGGUGGACUGUGAAGAAGAGGUUUGGGCUGAGAUGAGAGGGAAUGAGUGCAGCCGGGCAACUGUUUCCGAAGACCGAAAACGUCCGACGAAAAGACCGGCUACUAUUGCCGCUAUAUUUAUCCGUUGGGGCAUCUAACGAACUCCGAAUGCGAUGAAACUUGGCAGGCGGCCUAGUGACCACAUAACAACACCGCAUGCCAACUUUAAACCCAUUUCGAGAACAUUUUCCGGACACUUAUAAAAUACUAUUUCGGACGUGCCGCGGGCGCGUGCAAGUGUGUCUGGGCUCAGAACGGACAACAGACGGAACUGGGGGAACCCGGACGGAUGCAAGAUUUCAAAAACAUGCAGAUGCAAUGCGGAUGAUGACAUGGAAAGAUGCAACACGCAAGCGAAUGACAUGGCAACGGCGGCGAAUAACUGGAAGACACCUGGCGCAACGGUCUCGGGGCGUCACAACACUCCACCACUACGAGAGGAUCUCGUCCCGAGAUCUAGGAUGGCACCGGAGGGAAAUGUAAGAGGAAGAGAAGAGGUAAAACUAAUUGCUUCUUUGACAAAUGGGUGAAACCAAAGAACCUUGUGAGGCUGAACAAAUUGAAAAAUAAUACAAAGAAGAUGAACGAAGUGGAAAACACUUCGUUAGGAAAGAGGAACAAGGAACAUCAUGAGAACCCUGUAGGUUGAAAGACAUAAGAAAAGGGGUACAAUGGACAAGGAGUACAUGCAAACACUCCGGUAGAGACGAGAUGUAUAAGGAACAAUAAGGAUCAAUUACGACAACACUCCGGUUAAAACAAGAUAGAGAAGGGAAAAGAAUAUAUAAUUUGGAUAGCACUCCGACUAUAAUUGAAAGGAAUUGAAGAUGAGCUUGACAAGAUGAGAAGAUACUUGAUGAAAUCAACAACACACUGCCUCCGGAACUAUUGAAAGAAAGGCACAAAGGGUAAGAAAGAUUCCAGACAGCACUCCAGUUGAGAAAGGAGGUAAAACUUGAUAAGAUGAGAGAACUCGAAUGAAAACAUGACACUCCGGUUGAAUGGAUAAGCAAAGGAAAGAACAUGAUCUUCACAGUACGCGAUGGUGAGUGAAGAUAGCAUCAUCACAAUGCCUCCGGAAGAAAUGAAAGAAUGCAACGAAAAGAACAGAGAAGAAAACAACAUGUUCUACCUCAAAUGAAUUUGAGAUAGCAUCCUUAAAAAGAAGGAUUGAACGGAGUUGUUGGGAAAUCAACAACGAAAAGAACAGGCUUGUUGAGGGCUUAUGGAGAACAUCUCAAAACUAUGAGGUAAAAUUCUGCCACUAACGAAAAACAAUAGAUUGGAUUGAUAUGAACUAGGAGAUGAGAAACUUAUUUCACCGGGAGGAUAAAUGAAGAACUUAGGUCAUUUAUAAGCACCAUAAAUAGCAACAAUCCUUAGGGCAAGCUUUAGGUGAAAUAUAACCCAAGAUAACUCCAACGAAGAGAUUGAUGGGUUGCAAAGGAUCUCAUGAACGAAUUGAAAAUGAUGGGUUUAAAAUAUGUCAUUCGGGACAACUUUUGAAUCAUGAAACACAAAGCAAUUCUCAAAAAUGACAUAACACCACCUCAAAAGAUAAGGUAGAACGAAUUGCACUUCGAAAUGCAAGAUGAAGAAUGCUUGAAGUAUAGCUUGGCGGAUCAUAGCUUCGAGAGAACUCUUGAUGAACAAUUGAAGAAUGAAAAACAAACCUUGACGAACCACCAUGUAGAACCUCCGUGAAGAACUCCGGUAAUAAAAGAAUGAUCCAAAAUAAUUGAAGGAUGAAAAGAAUAAGAUUGAAGCCUUGCAAUGAUUUAGAUGGAUCUUCGUGACGAUAUAAAGCAGAAAACUUGGAAAUCCGGAAAAGAAAAGAUGAAUCAAUUGCAACAGAGAAUUUGAUGAACCUCCGGAAUAAAGAAUUGAAUUUACUCGAUGAAACAAGAAUAAGAAUUAUAUUAUGCUUAUCCUUCACCAAUUUAAAUUGAUGACAAGCAAUGGGCUUGGCAUACUACUUAUUCUUCUUGAAAAGAUUGAAGAGAGAUAUAGUGCAAACUUGAGAAGGUCUUGAAUGAACCACCUGUAUGAUUGAAACAACAAAUAAAUUGAUAUGAUAAGAAGGAAGAAAAAUCUUGAACGAACCACCGUAUGAAUUGAAAAUGAAAGUAGCAAAGGCACAAAUCACCGGGUAGAAUUGGAAAACGAAUGAAGAUACUUGAGAGAAUUUAGAUACAAGUGAAUGAAGAGAUCACGAGCUGAUUACAGAAUAAUUGAAUGAUGCAUCGGUAAGAUUUGGAGAACGAGAGCUGAAGGCUGGAAUGAAUAAUUCUGAUUUGAUGGGCUCCGGAGAAUCAAACUGAAAAGACUUCUGAAUAGCUCUGGAAGGGUGAAAAGAAUUCUCACAAUCAAAACAAUUAUGAGAGGAUGGCAUGAAGCUAGAACCAAGAAUCUUCGAGAGAACAGACCAAGAUUUGAGAGAAACUCUUCUUCGGUCUUCAAUAUCCGAGAAUGACAACGAGAAACAACACCAUGAAUUGUUGAGGCACUCUGGAAUAAUGAAAAGCGAAGAGGUUGAGCCAACAAUGAAAAGAAUAUGAAAGAUCUUGGAGAAAGACAUAUGACUGAUGAUAAUUCAUUCUUACGUCAAACUUCAAAAAGAAAUUUGAAGAUAGCUCUGGGAAAAUAGAAGAGUCAGGUAAGAUCUUGGGAAAAGACCUGUGUGUUAGGGCCCACUCAAAAGAUACACCGUUGAAAAGAUUGCUUGAAAAAAAUAGAUUGCACCUGUUGAAUUAAAUGGCUUGAAUGAGAUAACAUCCUCAAAAGAGCUUGAACGAAUGCAGGGUGGAAACAUGAAUCUUUGAGAUAUCAUCAGCACUCCGGAACAAUUGAAUAGCGAGAAGUGGAUAAUUGAGAGGUGCACCGACAUGAGAAAGCAUUUGAAAUGAGGAAAAGAUAUGAUCAACACCGAAAGCUUGAUUUGAAUCCACCGGAGAAGAUAAAAGAAACGAAGAAUGAUGAACUUGUAGAGCAUCUUCAUGAGAACCACCGGGUAAGAACAUUGAUUGAAAAAGGAUGAAGAGACUUCACAUCAAUAAAAGGAUACUUGAUUAAGAACUCCGAGUCCUUGAAGAAAAAGGGUUGGGUGGGCGGGAAAACAAAAGCAACUUGGGGAUAGAUGAAACGAACAACAUUGGGAAAAACCGAGAGGUGAUCUUGUGAAUGUUGAAAAAUGAUAGGAUCAGUUGAAGAGGAGCACACCGGUUGAAAAGGAUUGACAUGACAAUCUCGAUUAUCAUGAAGGAUCAGUAUUCACACAGAAAGAUGAGAACACCUCUUAGGCAAGGUAUGGAAUCAACAUUUGACUUCGAUGCAACUCGAAUACCACAAUUGAAAACAAAAACAAAGAAUUGGCUUGCAAAAUAAGCCGGACAAACAUAUGAUAGAGAUUUCGUCCGAAAUUGUCGUGGUGGGGCCCGCACGGGCUCGAUCGUACAUCACCAUCAUGUACAAGGUAGUGCACAUGACAUACGAAGCGUCCCCGAGUCAGCAUAGCCAAGGACUCUUUAAGACACAACGAGACCAAUGUAAAACCAACCGUGGACGGGCGGAGCACUAGACUUCGAAACCCAAUCUCAUAUCAUGCAUCUGUCGGAAAGAUAUCCUAGGCGCUACUUGAAUUCCCACUUAUAAACUCCCGAAACUUUCUGGUUAUGCAAUCAGGUGUUGAGGUUACAGGGGAAGCAUAAUAUCUCACCCAAAACUAGCAAUCCUACAUCCAGCUGUAUCCAUCCUUCAACACAUAACCAAGAAACCUUCGGAAAUCAUUUACCUCAACCUUCGAAAAGCAUCCGUUAUAUGAGUUAUGGCAAUACUCCCGAACUCCCACCCCAGUACCGGGUGGCGUUGAGGUUAUCUCACCAACAACUGCGUAAAAGAGAUUUUCGAUGUCGGCGAACUCAGGUAUUCCAGAACUGCAAUGAUAAAAUUGUAACGACAACACCUCAGAGCUCAACUCCCCGGGACACCGCCACAACCCCUAAAUGUCAGGAGGCACCAAGAACAAUGUUCUCGUCACAAAACCAUCAGAACGAUUCCUAGAUACCCGCGUGAUCCUAAAAAAAUUAGUGAAAUUUGAGGAGAGAAGAGUCAAAACUUCUACGUCAGGAGGCCUCACCAGAGCGACGAAGGGACUGAGGAGUAAAAAGAAUCCUACUCUCCGAUAUAUAUAAUCCUAAGACUCGAAACAUUUUUUCUAGACUCAACAACGCCUGCGAUUCGAUCAAGCAGGGGGCUCCUAAGUCUGGGAAGGCUCUGAUUACCAACUUGUAACACCCAUGAUGCGGCUAUAUCUCCCACAUGUCAGAGCAUGACUUAGAGGCAUAACCGCAUAGUAGGCAUGUCGCAAGAGGGGUAAUCUUUACACAUCCCAUGUACUGAAUAAGAGAGGGAUAAAGAGCUGGCUUACAAUCGCCACUUCACACAAUACAUAAAUAUAGCAUUACAUCAUCCAGAUACAAUCACGGUCCGACUACGGAACCAAAUAAAGAAAAAAACAACCCCUAAUGCAUAGAUCCCCGGUCACCCCGACUGGGCUCCUCUACUGAUCAACUAGAAAUGAAAACAACACAAUGAACACGAUCUUCAUCGAGCUCCCACUUGAGCUGGGUUGCGUCACCUGCACUGGUAUCAUCGGCACCUGCAACUGUUUUGGAAGUAAUCUGUGAGUCACGGGGACUCAUCAAUCUCACACCCGCGAGAUCAAGACUAUUUAAGCUUAUGGGUAGGAAAAGGGUAGUGAGGUGGAGCUGCAGCAAUCACUAGCAUGUAUGGUGGCUAACUUACGCAAAUAAGAGCGAGAAGAGAAGCAAAGCGCGGUCGUGAACUAGAAGUGAUCAAGAAGUGAUCCUGAAACUACUUACAUUCAAACAUAACUCCAAAACCGUGUUCACUUCCCGAACUUCGCCGGAAAGAGACCAUCACGGCUACACACGUGAUUGAUGCAUUUUAGUUAAAGUUAAGUGGCAAGUUUUCUACAACCGGACAUUAACAAAUUCCCAUCUGUCCAUAAUCGCGGGCACGGCUUUCGAAAUUUCAAACCCUGCAGGGGGUGUCCCAACUUAGCCCAUCACAAGCUCUCACGGUCAACGAAGGAUAUUCCUUCUCCCAGGAAGACCUGAUCAGGCUCAGAAUCCCGGUUACAAGACAUUUCAACAAUGGUAAAACAAGACCAGCAAGACCGCCAGAUGCGGCGACAUCCCGAUAGGAGCUGGACAUAUCUCAUUCUCAGGGCAACACUGGAUUGUCCAAACUUCUGGUAGGCCAGCCUAGAGUUGCCCCUGGUGGCCAUCGGCGGCUGACAGGUUCAGACCAACACUUAGACAAGCACUGGCCCAGGGGGGUUAAAAUAAAGAUGAUCCUCGAGAGCGCGAAUCCCAAGGGAAAAGUAGGUGGUGGUGAGGCAAAUGGUAAAACCAAGGUUGGGCCUUGUUGAGGGAGUUUUAUUCAAAGCCAACUGUCAAGGGGUCCCCAUAACACCCAACCGUCUAAGGAACGCAAAAUCAAGAAACAUAACACCAGUAUGACGGAAACUAGGGCGGCAAGAGUGGAACAAAACACCAGGCAUAAGGCCGAGCCUUCCACCCUUUACCAGGUAUAUAGAUGCAUUAAUUAACAUAAAAGAUAUUGUGAUAUCCCAACAUAACCAUGUUCCAACAUGGAACAAACUUCAAUCUGCACCUGCAACUAGCAACGCUAUAAGAGGGGCCGAGCAAAGCGAUAAUAUAGCCAAACAACGGUUUGCUAGGACAAGGUGGGUUAGAGGCUGAACAUGGCAAUAUGGGAGGCAUGAUAAAGCAUGUGGUAGGUAUCGCAACAUAGCAAUAGAGCGAGCAACUAGCAAGCAAAGAUAGAAGUGAUUUCGAGGGUAUGGUCAUCUUGCCCGAGAUCCCGCAAGGAAGAAGAACGAGUCCAUGAAGAAGAAAAAUGGACGUAGACGAACGGAUCCUCACAAACGCGACGUUAUCGGAACCAACACAAAGAAGCAACACCGGAAAUAAGAAAACCACAUAGUAAACAAUCAACACAUCAACAUGGCAUGAUGCACAAUCGAGUAUGAUGCAUGUCCGGUUUAAAUAUGCAUGGCAUGGCAAAGUGCACAAACAAUCCUACAAAUUAAGUGGAGCUCAAUAUGCAACUCCGUUGCAUAGUCACGAAACACCACGUGACUUAUUUAGUUCUCUCUCAUUUAAGUGCCCAACAAUAUUAAAUGUUGAUUAACAUGGCAAGAGGUGAAGCAAAUGAGAACUACCUAUCUAGGCAAGUUUAAAAUGAGGCCGGAACAACAAACAACAAGUCCGGAAAAUCCUCAUGUGCAUAUUGUAAAAUUGGUACUGUUCUGCCCUAAACCAUAUUUUAGAGUUGUAAAACAUGCAACAAGAGUGCACCAUAUUGAACUAGGCAUUUUUCUACCCCAUUUACAUAUAAAGUUUAUUAAAUUUGGAGCUACGGUUAUUUAGUUAUGAAUUAAAUCAUUUUAACAUGGCAAUAGGCAAAUUAUAAGCAAACAUCAUUUUAAACAUGCCAAACAUGAUUGAAAGUUGGAUAUUAUGAAACUAGAUGAAAUUCUAGUCAAGUUUCAUAUAUAAAGUUUUUACAUAUGACGCAUUAUUCAUAAGUUAUUAUAUGCAUGGAGACUAGGGGUUUUUCUGUAAAACCGUAAACUCUGGAAUAAAUAGGAAAAUCAUAGAGCCUAAAAAAGACUCUGGGUCGAAUCUGGCCGGCCCAAAGUGGACAGGGGGGGUUCUUACCCAGUGGGCCUGGCCCAGAUCGGUGGUGAGGGAGGUUUGUUUGGAAGGGAGGCGGUGCUGGGCCUGUCAAGGCUGGUUGGUGGACCUCGCGCGAGACACGGCCCAGGCGCGGGUCUUCUGCGGUCAAUGCGACAACGAGGGAGCGCUUGUCCUCGACUGAAACGAAGCAGUCGCAGCUGGGGAGCGAGGUUUAGAGCGGUAGCAGCAGCUGAAACGAGCGGGUCCAGGGGCUGAAUGCCGUUCUUCGGCGAGGUUCUAGGCGGCGGCAAGAGUCACCGGAUCCGGGCGGUGGAGGUCGGGGACGGCCUGUUCUGGCUGGAGACGAGGCCAUGGGCGGCGCUGGCAGUUCCUGUCGGCGGCAAAAGAUCAGGCCACAUGUAGCAGCAGGGGAAGCAAGAAGAAACAGUGGGAGUGGGAGAAGGGGAGCGACGGGGAGGUCCUGGCCUGUUGACGGCGGGGCUGUGGCUCGCUCUGGGUGAGCGGCUGGUCGGCGGCUCGGCUGCAGAGGCACGGGGGAACGAUCCAGGAGGUGGGAAGCGGAGGCCGAUGGAUGACAGGGGAUGGCUGUCAGCAACGAACCCCAAGGGCGCUCGCGCGAUUUGGUCGAAGCCGAUCAUGCAGGAGUUCCCGUUGAAGAAGAAAAACAGAGAAGGAUGAGAGAGAUCAAGAGGAACAAUGAAGCACCGGGAAGGAGAAGAAGAAGGGAGGCAGCGGUGCUCAUCUCAGAUGAAGCUCGUCGGCGGCGAUGCGAGGUGUAGGAGGCGGGUGAGCUCUGCUGGUCCUCGGGGAGAACAAGCAGAUGCGCGGGAGUCUGGCUCCAUGGAGGUGCUUGAAGCAAGGGAUCCAGGGGCGCAGUCCCGUUGGAGCUCGAGGGAGGUAGUGGAUUGAUGGAUUAGCUGUUGACUGAAAUCGAGGGGAGGUGGUGGAUCGGGAGGGAUCCCCAGAAAGAGUGUGGCGGCGGCGCUAGGGUAGGAUCCCUAGAAAUUAGGUGGGUUGUCUAGAUAUAUAUAGUAGGUAGGUGAAAGGAGAGGGAUUUGGAUCAUCGGAUCGAAAUCCGAUGGACGAGAAUAAAUAUGCUAAAGAGUCCAAUAAAUAAAACGAUGAUAUUUUGUAGAUGUUUGGGGAUGUUCCGGACCCAACGGUGAUGACUAUCCGGGUCGGGUUCGGGACAGUUUUCGGACACGCACACGAGGAUGUCGAAGCACUGUGCAAGGAGGGGUAGGCUGGCCUAGGUGGACUGUGAAGAAGAGGUUUGGGCUGAGAUGAGAGGGAAUGAGUGCAGCCCGGCAACUGUUUCCCGAGACCGAAAACGUCCAACGAAAAGACCAACUACUAUUGCCGCUAUAUUUAUCCGUUGGGGCGUCUAACGAACUCCAAAUGCGAUUAAACUUGGCAGGCAGCCUACUGACAACAUAACAACACCGCAUGCCAACUUUCAACCCAUUUCGAGAACAUUUUCCAGCCACUUAUAAAAUACUAUUUCGGACGUGCCACGGGCGCGUGCAAGUGUGUCUGGGCUCAGAACGGACAACGGACGGAACUGGGGGAACCCGGGCGGAUGCAAGUUUUCAAAAACAUGCAGAUGCAAUGCGGAUGAUGACAUGGCAAGAUGAAACACGCAAGCGAAUGACAUGGCAACGAUGGCAAAUAACUGGAAGACACCUGGCGCAACGGUCUCGAGGCGUCACAACAUACACAUAGCUAAACAUAUUCGGAUAGGGAUAUGUGCUUUAUUAUGGGCUAUAUGGAACACUAGGAAUGAUAUGAUUUUUAAUGGUAAAACAUUCACCAUUUUUUUGCAGUUUAUCUACAGAGCUACAACGUGAAUUUGUAUGUGGUCGUUACUCACUCAUGCGGACUACAAGGGGUCUAUGGUUAUUGGGUGCAACCGUAGGGAGACGGUAGCACGGGCUAUCUUCGGCAGAUUUGGAUGGCGAGUUAAUAAUAGGCUAGGUGUGUAGCAUGUUCUUUAUUGUCGGAUGUGGCACUUUAUUGUCGGAUUUUGAGCUUCCUUGGAUGUUAAGACUCUGUUUCAAUUUCUACAUGCAUCGACUGACGUAGAGGCCGGAGGUAUUCCUCCUUUUCAAAAUAAAAAUAAAAAUUAUGUUAGAGGUAAAAAUUUGUUGGCUCAAGAGGCAUCAGAGUUAUUCACUUCUUAGCAUUUGGACCAUUUAAUUAAGGAAUAUAUGAGAGUUUGAAUUAAGAAAUGGAGGAUUUGAUUACCUUGCAAAAGUCACUAUCAAGAUUAGUUUCACUAAUCGUAUUUUUGUUCAGAGUGAAGGUAUACUAUCCAAAGAUGCUUUAAAGCUUAGUUUAUUAAACAUCUUUUUUAUUCAGAAUGAAGGUCCACUACAGUUAUAAUAACUCGCUCCUUGUUUAUGCAUUCCAAUUUAAUAUAGUAUAGUUUAGCUGAAAAAUGUUAUAGUAAGACAAAGUCAUUACUUCAGCCAAGGUUAAGACUGGCAACUUAGUAAUGAAAAGUCUUACGAAUUAUCACAUAUUUAUUAGGACUAUUUGUGGAUUGUUGUUUUUUAUUAACAACCAUCAUAUAUGUGUGUUUUUGUGGAUUGUUGUCAUCUGUUGCAGGUUGCGAACAAUGUAAUUAUCAUUAUUGGUUACCACUUAUGGAAAUGGGUGACGACUCAGUAGAAGCUUUUUUUUCUUUGGAAGCAACGGGCUACCAUAAGUUUUAUUCCAUUAUGUGAGAUGAUCAAACAAAUUUCAGAAACCUAUGUGGAGAUAAUAAAUAGUAGAACUGCUACACAAUUAGACAAAAAAAUCAGGAAAAAUAAGCCAUCUAGGCUCAUAUCAUGUUUCGCCUCACAAAUCCAGAGUACAUUGAAAUGAGAAACUCUUAUUUUUCCUUUUUUAUGCUAGCAGCUUAAGUCUACUUAUUUUCCUUAUAACUCAUUUUUUAUCUGACCCAAACAACACUAGUUUAUCAGGAAAUCACUGAUCACUUAUCUGUUAUUAUCAGUUAUGAGUUGUUCUCCUCUUGCCUAUUGUUGGGGAUAUAACUAUUGGGUAUGAACCGCCCAGGAGGGGCCGGGUUAUAUCAACUAGUGGUUUACUAACGAAGAUGGCGGAUCAUACAAGCCUGGUGAAGGCCCAAGGCCUAGAGGUGACUUACAGCCCAGGUGUAUGUAUAACUUGUGUUCUAAGGCAGUCGUAAUUAGUCACUGAGCCGGACACUUUGUGUAUAAGACGGCCGGGACUCCGUGAGCCAUCGGGCGUCAACCUGUGUAUAUAAAGGGACGACCCGGCAGCGGUUUAGGACAAGAAACAAGAGAUCAAGAACUAGGUCAAGCGUAUUCGCUCCCUGGUAAUCAAAACCCUAGCAAUACAAUCCCAAACUGGAGUAGGCCUUUACCUUCAUCGUAAGGGGCCGAACCAGUAUAAACUCUCUGUGUCGUUUGUCCCAUUUAACCCCUUUAAACUAACCUAGCUGCGAUGGCCCUGCGACUAAGUCCUUCCGCUAGGACAUCAGCCGUGACAAUUCCACGACAGCUGGCGCCCACCAUGGGGCUAGCGCAUGUUGGAUUCAAGUUCUUAAAGGGCAACUUCGAAGGCAUCAAAGGAUACACUAUGGUCCGGAUGACCAAGAGUCGUCGCGGCAAGCUCUACAUCGACGCUGCGGGAUGGGGCCCUGAGGCCGGCUCAAUAGAGUACGGGUAUCAGGCCCCCUUCGGUGGAAUCCACGUCUUCAUCAGCAAGAUCGGUGAACCGGGCCCUGAGCCGGACAUCUGCACCUACAUCAUCGAGACGGCUCAGCGUGCACGACCCGCCCAGGUUCAACCCGCCAUGAAGCGUGCCUUUGUUGGUUUCAUCCAUGGGACGGUAAUUGGAGAAGGAUCCGUGUCUGGCGGUGAGAUGGCCAUCUAUUCGGAUGGUGAGUCAUCCACAGGCGAGACUAAUUCAUUGUAAACUAAUUCAUUGUAUCAACUGCAAGACGGCCGGCUUGGGGGCUGUUCCGAUGGUGACAGUAUUCCGGACCCCUACGAGCCACCGAAUAGCAUCGCAAUCUUCAUGGUUGGUACACAACCGGUGUUUGGUUCAACAACCGCCGCGGCCAUGACCUCCAGUUCAAUGGCUGCAGCAGCGGCUGGUAUUGGCGGUUCUGCACGCCCGUCGGCUCAAAUUCUCAUGGAGUUAUUGGAAGCUCUAGCGACUCUGAUGGGGGUGGAGCUAACCCCAAACAACCAGGAACAACACAAGGUGGAUCUGGCAAAAUUGCAAGAUGAGAUAGCUGAAGCCAAGGGAGAGCUAGUGGCUGAGAACACGAGGAUGACUACAGAGUGGGCGGCUUUGGAUGCCCAGGCACAACGGAUUCAAGAAGAUUCCUUCCGGCUUAUGUUAGAUCAGAACGCUUCAAAUGAGGUCAUGAGGAGGAGGCACCGGAGUCAUCUACCCCCAGUUUAUGAGCCGAGGAACCUCUUCAACACGCCUGGAGCAUGGACUAGUGACACGCCGUUGGUGAACCGGGUGGUCGAAGCACCUGGGACUGGAGCGCCGGUUCAGCCACGGGCAAUGGGCUCGACGCGUUUGAAUAGUAUUCUGCCUCAGCAUGUUCCGACAUCUCCGAGUCAUUAUUCUAACCCGUUGGACAAUAUGAUUGCCGCGGCAACGUGAUUCGUGGCUCUACCGAUCGAAGGUGAGUCUCCGGCAGCGAUAAAGACUCAGAGGGCCAGAUAACUUCUUUAGACAGUUGUGGCUCAACAAGCGGCUUAUUCUUACAGUCGCGAGCGGAUUCACUCCACCCCUCGUCCAAGCCGGAGUUACAGCAGGCACAUUGACUCACCGCCGGUUUCAAGCAGUGAACGACGCCUUAACCAGCCUCAUGGACAUGACCCGAUGCAUGGUGGUGCCAAUGCUCAGACUCUGGUGGAUCAGGGCAGAGCGCGUCGGGAUGCCGAGCUGUCGGCUCAGCAAGCGGCUCAUCAGCACUCUCCGGCUUAUCCGCUAGCUUCGGUGGAGGCAGGUGUGAUUUCUAGAACCUUGGUUCUGCCAUGUCUAGUGUCGGCUCUACGUAACGAGCGUUUACCCAAGGAUUUCAAGGGUCCUCGCAAGGUGCCUAAUUACACAGUAGAUCAACCCCCUGAAGCUUGGAUUGAAAGUUAUGAGAUGGCCAUGGAGAUGCUGGAUGUUAGUGAUGCCGCAUGUGCUAAGUAUUUCACCAUGAUGUUGGACGGCCCGACUCGUACUUGGUUGAAAGGGCUGCCCGCCAACUCCACCGGGUCAUGGGCGGAGCUGAAGGCCCGUUUUAUCCAAAUUUUCAAAGACACAUGCAAGCAGCCUAUGUCAAUCCUGGAUUUGGAUUCUUGUGUCCAAGGUGAGGGAGAGUCAACAACCCGCUGGGUGCGCUGGAUCUCAACUACUAUACACUCAUCAGACAGCAUCAACGUCGGCUCAUUGGUUUUGACGUUGGAGAAAAUUGCCAUUUCCUCCCCCUCAAGCAGAAGCUCGGACGGCUUAAGCGCCACUGUAAUGACACGGGGGAGCUCAUGGCAGCUCUUGUCAAGUAUGCCGACUCCGACAGUACCAAGGACCCCGGGUCUGAUGAUGAAAAGCCGGGAAAGGGAAAGAAGAGCGGCAACAUGAAAGGGCAGUAGUAUAACCCGGCAAGCCAAGGUGGUAAUGGUAAGAGUAAGGCCGACGGCAAUUUAGACUUUGUGGCUAACACCAGAGCGCAGAAUGAUAAUCAGCAUCGCAAAGGAAGGCCAACCCAGCCUGGAGGAUCAAAAUUUGACCUUGAAGCGGUGAUGAAUCAGCCUUGUCUGAGGCAUGGUACACGCCAGAAGCCGGCCACUCAUUUGUGGAAGGACUGCUUUAUCAUGAAGGAGUUCAAGGCUUCCAAUUUUUUUCAGAACAACCAUGGCCCGAACGGCGGUUCAGGAUCUGGCUCUUGUCGAUCGGGCUUUGGUGGUGGCAGUUCUAAUUCCGGCUUUAAGGGCCAAGGCAAUCACGGUGGUUAUAAUCAACAGUCCGGUCAAGGGAAUCAGCAACAGCAGUAUGGUUAUCAGAGUAACCCAAAAUAGUCGAAUAGUGGAAAGUACCAUGUCUUCACCACAAGUUUAUGCAACCGGGAUCUGAAGCUCCAUAAAAGGGCAGUGAACGCCAUUGAGCCGAUGGUUCCUCGUUACUUGUGAUGGUCUGAACACCCUAUUCUCUGGAGCCAUGAAGAUCACCCGCCCCGGGUUGAUAAUCCGGGCCACUUGGCUCUGGUGGUGGCACCUCAGGUUGGAGGGUACAUAUUCACUAAAGUACUCAUGGAUGGAGGCAGCAACAUCAAUAUCCUUUAUUAUGAUACUUUCCGCCGCAUGGGACUGACCGACAAAAAUCUUAAACCGUCCAAUACUAUUUUCCAUGGAGUGGUGCCUGGAAAGUCGGCGUAUCCAGUGGGCAAGAUUGCUUUGGAAGUAGCCUUUGGGGAUGAACAUGACUCCAAAGCGGAGACACUGACCUUUGAGGUGGUCAAGAUCCAGAGCCCGCAUCAUGCUCUGUUUGGGCGGCCAUCUUAUGCCAAAUUCAUGGCACGGCCUUGUUAUUUUUAUUUGCAACUUAAGAUGCCGGUCAUAAUGGCACUAUCACAGUGCAUGGAAGCCGGAAGAUAGCUUUGGAAUGUGAAGAAGGUGAUGCUGCUUAUGCUGAGUCUGUAUGUGCCACUGAGGAGUUGAAAUUUUAUAAAGACAAUGUUGAUUCAACGGAUAUGACGUCUUUGAAGAAGCCAACCACAGAGCAUGACCCUCUGCUGAAAUUUAAGUCGGCAAAUGACACUAAACUAGCUGACUUCGUUCCUGGCGAUUCUUCCAAGCAGUUCAGCAUCAGUGCUAAUCUGGAUCAGAAAUAGGAAAGCGCGCUCAUCGAGUUCAUCCGUGAGAAUCGGGACAUUUUUGCAUGGAAACCUACAGACAUGCUAGGUGUACCGAGGGAACUCGCUAAGCACACUCUCAAUAUUGAUCCCAAGUUUAAACCGGUCAAGCAAGUCCUUCAUCGUUUCAAUGAAGAGAGGUGCAAAGCCAUCGGUGAAGAAGUGUCCCGGCUCUUGGCGGUUGGGUUCAUUGUUGAACUUUUUCAUCCUAAGUGGUUGGCUAACCCGGUGCUGGUACUUAAGAAAAACGGCACUUGGCGCAUGUGUGUGGAUUAUACGGAUCUUAACAAGGCAUGUCUGGCUGAUCCCUUCGCUCUCCCUCGUAUUGAUCAGAUUAUUGAUGCUACAGCAGGUUGCGAGCGUUUGAGCUUUUUGGAUGCAUAUUCUGGUUAUCAUCAGAUCAAGAUGGAAGUUAAGGGCCAAGAGAAGAUAGCUUUCAUCACUCCCUUCAGGGCCUUCUGUUAUGUGUCUAUGCCUUUUGGGCUCAAGAGUGCCCAGGCCACUUACCAGCGUUGUGUGCAAAAUUGCCUUCAUAAUCAGAUUAGGCGCAAUGUUCAUGCUUAUGUGGAUGAUAUCAUGGUGAAGUCCAAGAAGAAGGACACCCUGAUAGAUGAUUUGAAAGAAACCUUUGACAAUCUUCGGAUCUACAAGAUGAUGCUUAACUCGGCCAAGUGUGUCUUUGGCGUACCAGCAGGCAAGCUCUUAGGUUUUUUGGUUUCUGAACGAAGCAUUGAAGCUAACCCGGAGAAAAUAAAGGCCAUCACUUCCCUGUCUAAACCGGUAUGUAUCAAUGAUGUUCAGCAUCUGGCGGGUCGUAUUGCGGCCCUAAGCCGGUUGGGUGAGAAGGCUAUCCCUCAAUACCAGAUGAUGAAGAAGACAUAUCACUUUGUCUGGAGUGAUGCUGCUGAUAAGGCAUUUGAGGCCUUGAAGAAACAGUUAGCUGAGCCGCCGGUUCUUGCUACUCCCAUUGAUAAAGAGCCCUUGUUGUUGUAUGUGGUUGCUAAUAGCUGAGCUGUUAGUGUAGCGAUUGUGGUAGAAAGGAAGGAGUCAGGCAAAGAAUAUCCGGUUCAGCGGCCGAUUUACUACAUUAGUGAGGUGCUCAUUGAGUCCAAGUAGAGGUAUCCGCAUUGGCAGAAGCUUGUAUAUGGGGUGUUCAUGGCUAGUCGAAAGCUCAAGCAAUAUUUUCUGGGUCAUCCCAUCACUAUGGUUAGUUCUGCCCCUUUAGGGGAUAUUAUUCAAAAGUCAAAACAAGGAAGCCAUUGCUCGGGUAGCCAAAUGGGCCAUUGAGCUUGGACCCCAUGGUUUGAGGUAUAUGCCUCGCAUAGCCAUCAAGUCUCAAGCACUUGUGGAUUUUAUCAAUGAUUGGACAGAGUUGCAGAUGCCUGAGGAGAAGCCGGAUAGCACAUAUUGGACUAUUCACUUCGAUGGAUCCAGGCAGUUGGAAGGCUCGGGGGCUGGAGUUAUCUUGACUUCCCCAUGAGGUGAUAAAUUUUGUUAUGUUUUAAGGUUGAUGUUCACUUGUACUAACAAUGCAGCUGAGUAUGAUGCCCUGCUCCAUGGUCUUCGAAUGGCUAAGGAGAUGAACUUAAGCAGAGUGAGGUGUUUUGCUGACUCGGAUUUGGUAGCUCAGCAAGUUUCUGGCACUUGGGAUUCUAAGGACCCACUCAUGACAUCUUAUCGUCGAGAGGUUGAUGUUAUUGCUGGUCGCUUCAAGGGUUAUCAAGUAGAGCAUGUUGAUCGAUGGAAAAUGAGGCAGUUGAUGCUUUAAGCCGGUACCACCCAAUAUUUUCCUUCAUAUUCUGCAUAGUCCUUCAGUCAAACUGCCUACCGA
rnacentral:lncRNA from 1 species